rnacentral:rRNA from 1 species
UGAGGAAUAUUGGUCAAUGGGCGAGAGCCUGAACCAGCCAAAUCGCGUGAAGGAAGACUGCCUUAUGGGUUGUAAACUUCUUUUAUACAGGAAUAAAAAAGGGGACGUGUCCCUUAUUGCAUGUACUGUAUGAAUAAGCAUCGGCUAACUCCGUGCCAGCAGCCGCGGUAAUACGGAGGAUGCGAGCGUUAUCCGGAUUUAUUGGGUUUAAAGGGUGCGCAGGCGGGCUUUUAAGUCAGCGGUGAAAUCUCGGGGCUUAACUCCGAAACUGCCGUUGAAACUGGGAGUCUUGAGUAUGGAUGAAGUAGGCGGAAUUCGUUGUGUAGCGGUGACAUGCUUAGAUAUAACGAGGAACUCCGAUUGCGUAGGCAGCUUACUAAGCCAUAACUGACGCUCAAGCACGAAAGCGUGGGGAUCAAACAGGAUUAGAUACCCUGGUAGUCCACGCCGUAAACGAUGAUUACUAGUUGUAUGCGAUAUACCGUAUGUGACUAAGCGAAAGCGAUAAGUAAUCCACCUGGGGAGUACGCCGGCAACGGUGAAACUUAAA